UACAGAGACUGCAAGCGUUAUUCGGAUUCACUGGGCGUAAAGGGUGCGCAGGCGGCCGUAUGUGUGAGGCGUGAAAGCCCGGGGCUUAACCCCGGAAUUGCACCUCAAACUAUACGGCUAGAGCAUUGGAGAGGGUAGCGGAAUUCACGGUGUAGCAGUGAAAUGCGUAGAUAUCGUGAGGAACACCAGAAGCGAAGGCGGCUACCUGGACAAUUGCUGACGCUCAGGCACGAAAGCGUGGGGAGCAAAAGGG
rnacentral:rRNA from 1 species